rnacentral:rRNA from 1 species
UACAGAGGUCCCAAGCGUUGUUCGGAUUCACUGGGCGUAAAGGGUGCGUAGACGGUCGGGUAAGUCUGAUGUGAAAUCUCACAGCUUAACUGUGAAACUGCAUUGGAUACUAUCCGGCUAGAGGAAUGGAGGGGAGACUGGAAUACUUGGUGUAGCAGUGAAAUGCGUAGAUAUCAAGUGGAACACCAGUGGCGAAGGCGAGUCUCUGGACAUUUCCUGACGCUGAGGCACGAAAGCCAGGGGAGCAAACGGG